rnacentral:rRNA from 1 species
UGCCAGACUCCUACGGGAGGCAGCAGUGGGGAAUAUUGCACAAUGGGGGAAACCCUGAUGCAGCGACGCCGCGUGAGCGAUGAAGUAUUUCGGUAUGUAAAGCUCUAUCAGCAGGGAAGAAGAUGACGGUACCUGACUAAGAAGCCCCGGCUAACUACGUGCCAGCAGCCGCGGUAAUACGUAGGGGGCAAGCGUUAUCCGGAUUUACUGGGUGUAAAGGGAGCGUAGACGGCAGUGCAAGUCUGGAGUGAAAGGCGGGGGCUCAACCCCCGGACUGCUCUGGAAACUGUACGGCUGGAGUGCAGGAGAGGUAAGUGGAAUUCCUAGUGUAGCGGUGAAAUGCGUAGAUAUUAGGAGGAACACCAGUGGCGAAGGCGACUUUCUGGACUGUACCUGACGCUGAGGCGCGAAAGCGUGGGUAGCGAACGGGAUUAGAUACCCUCGUAUC